GACGAACGCUGGCGGCGUGCUUAACACAUGCAAGUCGAACGAAGAGCGACGGAAGCUUGCUUCUAUCAAUCUUAGUGGCGAACGGGUGAGUAACGCGUAAUCAACCUGCCCUUCAGAGGGGGACAACAGUUGGAAACGACUGCUAAUACCGCAUACGAUCUAAUCUCGGCAUCGAGGAUGGAUGAAAGGUGGCCUCUACAUGUAAGCUAUCACUGAAGGAGGGGAUUGCGUCUGAUUAGCUAGUUGGAGGGGUAACGGCCCACCAAGGCGAUGAUCAGUAGCCGGUCUGAGAGGAUGAACGGCCACAUUGGGACUGAGACACGGCCCAGACUCCUACGGGAGGCAGCAGUGGGGAAUCUUCCGCAAUGGACGAAAGUCUGACGGAGCAACGCCGCGUGAGUGAUGACGGCCUUCGGGUUGUAAAGCUCUGUUAAUCGGGACGAAAGGCCUUCUUGCGAAUAGUGAGAAGGAUUGACGGUACCGGAAUA
rnacentral:rRNA from 1 species